CCUAAAAGGGAAAAUUGGGGAUUAGGGUAAAUUCAAUACGACGUUUCAUGUUCCUCGUUCUCUCUUCUUCUCUCAACGCGAGCGAACGGCGCCGGAGAAGCCUUCUUCUCCGAGCGGCCAUCAUCAACUCUCUUUCGUCUCACCCUCUCGAUUUCUCCGUCUCUCAAAUUCAUAAUCGUACACAAGAACUCAGCAAUAAAUCGUAAAUCAAAAGGGGUUUUGAAACCCUAGAUCCAACGAAAAGUGAAAUUACAAACAAACGACCGCGAAUCACAAAGAAAUACACCGAUAACAUGAAAAUACGAAGAUGAUCGAAGGAUUUGAGAUGCUUACCUGGAGUGGAGACGCGCGAUUGAAGAUAUUGGUGAUGAGAAAUCGGAGUAAGUAUUAAUCGUUGACCGUUUACUUCCUUUCUCUGAUUCUUCUCUUUCUUCUCUAUAGAUUCUUGAAGGAUGGAGAUAUCAGAUGCGAGAAACGAAAGAAAUUUCUGCAGAAUUGAUGAUUCGAUUUCUGUUUUUGUUGCGAGAUUGAACGCGAUGAUGAAGGUGAUGUGCGUCGAAGGUGAUAUCGAUGCUGAGCAGUGAUGAUGAUGAAGCAGUAUUUGGAGGUGGUGAUGUUGUUACAGAGAAGAGUUGAAGAUGAUUGUGCCACGGUGGAGAAUGGUGAAGUGAAGAUGGUGAUGAUGAAUGGAUUGAGAGCUUGAAGAAAGGUGAAGUUUUGAGAUUGAUAUUUGGUUCUUUUGUUGCAGAGAGGUAAAGAUGAUCGAGAGUGAAGAUGAUGCAAGGUGAAUGAUUUAAUGGAGUUUCUCUCUGAAAAUGAGAGAGAAAGCUCUCAGAUUUUGAAUGAUUUUGGUGAAGUGUCGAUGAAAAAAAAUGAAAUGGUGGAGAGUGUCUGUUAUAUAGAGGAGAGAUGAAUUCAGUUGGAGGGAAAGAAGAGAUUCAGCUCAGGUUUAUGUCAAAUGGAACUAUGGAGAAUGGUUCUAAAGAACAACUUGCAAAAUGGAGAUGGAGAGCAAUGUUUCUUUUAGAUAUGACUUGGAAUGCAACAAGCUGUGUAAUUACUUUGAUGUAAUGUGAUUACUGGAUGUGUGUGGUCACUGUUGGUUUUUUCUUUUGAUAGGUUUUUCAACACAUGAAGGUGAGGAAGGUGGCAGCAAGAGCAGGUCCAAGCCUUUUGGUCAUGGAGAAAAGAAGUUAGACAUAGGUUUUCAUAUGAGAGUUUGGACCAGACACUUUCUUUGUACAAAUUUUGUAAUAAAAGGUUUUAUGAAGGGAAUAAAAAUGUGACUUUCUUUGGACUGGGAUAUUGUCAUAUGGUUUGAGUUGUAAUGAUGGACAAAAUUUGUAAAUGAUAUAGAUAUUUUUUUUUGUAA